rnacentral:lncRNA from 1 species
GGUAGCACCGCGCCCGGAGCAGGAGUACUGGGUUGUCCGCGGGCCAGAGACGGUCAGGCUCGCUCUACCGCUCUCAGGCACCUGCCUUUCUCUGCGUUCCGGAAUGCGGCCAAGACCGAAUAAAGGAAAUUACAUAGUAAGCGGAGAUCGGGUGUCUGAGCAGCGCCUUGGAUCAAAUCCACUCAUGACAGGUGAAAGUGCUUGAGAAUAAGACCAGCAUUCAUUUUUUUAAUUCGUCCACCAUGAAACAUUCAUUGUCACCAUCUGUCUGGAGCACGGGACCUUGUCCUCAAGGUGUUCAGAGUUCAAUGGGGAUUGGAAAAAGUAUUCUAGAAUCCCAGAACUGGCCUAUGAGCCCUGUGGAAGGCAAAUGCACAAGACACUACGUGGGAAUGUCUAACAGUCCUGGAAGAUGAGAAACGAGAAGGAGGGAGCGAGGAGCAAGAAAGACUGCUCGGGGUUGAAGAAAUAUCUGAACUGGAAGGUAUGUCUGUGCACCGUGUAUGUGCCUGGUGCCUUUGGAGACCAGAAGACGACACUGGAACCUCUGGAACUGGAGUUACAGCUUGUAAACUGCCCUGUGGGUCCCGGGAAUUGAACCUGUGUCUCCUGGAAGGACAGCUCGUGCUCUUAAUCACUGAGCUGUCUCUGUAGCCUACCCUCUGCCUCCAAACUGUUUGUCUUUGGUUUUCUCAGCUACACUAUGCUUUCUUUACUAUGAUAAUUAAAUAGGAAGUUGUAUAUAAAAUCCUUAUGAUAGUACCUGCUGUCUAGUAGAUGUUCAAUAUAGUCAUUAUUAAAUUCAUAUCUUCAAAGAA